CCCUGGGUAGUUGAAACAGUUAAGCACUUGGCUGCUAACCAAAAGGUUGGAGGUUAGAUUCCACCCAGAUGGG
rnacentral:tRNA from 1 species